UCCGGGGUAGCUCAGCGGUAGAGCGGUUGGCUGUUAACCAAUAGGCCGCGGGUUCGAACCCCGCCCCCGGAGCCA
rnacentral:tRNA from 6 species